rnacentral:rRNA from 1 species
GUCGUAAAACUCUGUUGUUGGAGAAGAACGUGUGUGAGAGUAACUGCUCAUGCAGUGACGGUAUCCAACCAGAAAGCCACGGCUAACUACGUGCCAGCAGCCGCGGUAAU